GCUUAACACAUGCAAGUCGAACGGAAAGGCCCUGCUUUUGUGGGGUGCUCGAGUGGCGAACGGGUGAGUAACACGUGAGUAACCUGCCCUUGACUUUGGGAUAACUUCAGGAAACUGGGGCUAAUACCGGAUAGGAGCUCCUGCUGCAUGGUGGGGGUUGGAAAGUUUCGGCGGUUGGGGAUGGACUCGCGGCUUAUCAGCUUGUUGGUGGGGUAGUGGCUUACCAAGGCUUUGACGGGUAGCCGGCCUGAGAGGGUGACCGGCCACAUUGGGACUGAGAUACGGCCCAGACUCCUACGGGAGGCAGCAGUGGGGAAUAUUGCACAAUGGGCGGAAGCCUGAUGCAGCAACGCCGCGUGCGGGAUGACGGCCUUCGGGUUGUAAACCGCUUUCGCCUGUGACGAAGCGUGAGUGACGGUAAUGGGUAAAGAAGCACCGGCUAACUACGUGCCAGCAGCCGCGGUGAUACGUAGGGUGCGAGCGUUGUCCGGAUUUAUUGGGCGUAAAGGGCUCGUAGGUGGUUGAUCGCGUCGGAAGUGUAAUCUUGGGGCUUAACCCUGAGCGUGCUUUCGAUACGGGUUGACUUGAGGAAGGUAGGGGAGAAUGGAAUUCCUGGUGGAGCGGUGGAAUGCGCAGAUAUCAGGAGGAACACCAGUGGCGAAGGCGGUUCUCUGGGCCUUUCCUGACGCUGAGGAGCGAAAGCGUGGGGAGCGAACAGGCUUAGAUACCCUGGUAGUCCACGCUGUAAACGGUGGGUACUAGGUGUGGGGUCCAUUCCACGGGUUCCGUGCCGUAGCUAACGCUUUAAGUACCCCGCCUGGGGAGUACGGCCGCAAGGCUAAAACUCAAAGGAAUUGACGGGGCCCCGCACAAGCGGCGGAGCAUGCGGAUUAAUUCGAUGCAACGCGUAGAACCUUACCUGGGUUUGACAUGGAUCGGGAGUGCUCAGAGAUGGGCGUGCCUCUUUUGGGGUCGGUUCACAGGUGGUGCAUGGCUGUCGUCAGCUCGUGUCGUGAGAUGUUGGGUUAAGUCCCGCAACGAGCGCAACCCUUGUUCACUGUUGCCAGCACGUUAUGGUGGGGACUCAGUGGAGACCGCCGGGGUCAACUCGGAGGAAGGUGGGGAUGACGUCAAGUCAUCAUGCCCCUUAUGUCCAGGGCUUCACGCAUGCUACAAUGGCUGGUACAGAGAGUGGCGAGCCUGUGAGGGUGAGCGAAUCUCGGAAAGCCGGUCUCAGUUCGGAUUGGGGUCUGCAACUCGACCUCAUGAAGUCGGAGUCGCUAGUAAUCGCAGAUCAGCAACGCUGCGGUGAAUACGUUCCCGGGGCUUGUACACACCGCCCGUCAAGUCAUGAAAGUUGGUAACACCCGAAGCCGGUGGCCUAACCGUUGUGGGGGAGCCGUCGAAGGUGGGACUGGUGAUUAGGACUAAGUCAUA
rnacentral:rRNA from 1 species